AUUGAACGCUGGCGGCAGGCCUAACACAUGCAAGUCGAGCGAGCGGCGGACGGGAGAGUAAUGCCUGGGAAUUGCCCAGUCGAGGGGGAUAACAGGUGGAAACGACUGAUAAUACCGCAUACGAGGGGAUGGCCCAGGUGGGAUGAGCUCGUUGGUGAGGUAAGGGCUCACCAAGGCGACGAGCCCUAGCUGGUCUGAGAGGAUGAUCAGCCACACUGGAACUGAGACACGGUCCAGACUCCUACGGGAGGAAGCAGUGGGGAAUAUUGCACAAUGGGGGAAACCCUGAUGCAGCCAUGCCGCGUGUGUGAAGAAGGCCUUCGGGUUGUAAAGCACGUUCAGCGAGGAGGCGUUACUCACAGAAGAAGCACCGGCUAACUCCGUGCCAGCAGCCGCGGUAAUAC
rnacentral:rRNA from 1 species